GUAGGGGGCAAGCGUUAUCCGGAUUUACUGGGUGUAAAGGGAGCGCAGACGGAAGAGCAAGUCUGAUGUGAAAACCCGGGGCUCAACCCCGGGCCUGCAUUGGAAACUGUUUUUCUGGAGUACUGGAAGGGCAGGCGGAAUUCCUGGUGUAGCGGUGAAAUGCUUAGAUAUCAGGAGGAACAA
rnacentral:rRNA from 1 species